rnacentral:rRNA from 1 species
GAUGAACGCUGGCGGCGUGCCUAAUACAUGCAAGUCGAGCGAACAGAUAAGGAGCUUGCUCCUUUGACGUUAGCGGCGGACGGGUGAGUAACACGUGGGUAACCUACCUAUAAGACUGGAAUAACCCCGGGAAACCGGGGCUAAUGCCGGAUAAUAUUUAGAACCGCAUGGUUCUAAAGUGAAAGAUGGUUUUGCUAUCACUUAUAGAUGGACCCGCGCCGUAUUAGCUAGUUGGUGGGGUAAUGGCUUACCAAGGCAACGAUACGUAGCCGACCUGAGAGGGUGAUCGGCCACACUGGAACUGAGACACGGUCCAGACUCCUACGGGAGGCAGCAGUAGGGAAUCUUCCGCAAUGGGCGAAAGCCUGACGGAGCAACGCCGCGUGAGUGAUGAAGGUCUUCGGAUCGUAAAACUCUGUUAUUAGGGAAGAACAAAUGUGUAAGUAACUGUGCACGUCUUGACGGUACCUAAUCAGAAAGCCACGGCUAACUACGUGCCGGCAGCCGCGGUAAU